rnacentral:misc_RNA from 1 species
GAAGUGCGAUAAGUGUCAUGACUUGCAGAUCCCCGAGAGCUGACAAAUUUCUGAAUGCAAAUGGCGGCCAACUCACGUUGGUCAUGUAUUGCAGAGUGUAGUUGUUCAUACUCAUCAUCCUCCUUGAAGAUAUUCAAGAAGGGAUCUGCGCUUGUUGGGGAUUCGCUCUCCAUGCGAGCGUGAAAAGUCAGAGUGGAUGCCUCUCUUCGUCGAGAGGCUUCCAACUUCGGAGUUUUCUUUGGAAGUUCACCAUACUCUGUUCUCUCUCUGUGAUUCGCUUCAUGGAGGAGCCUUUCUCUAUUCACCUCUGCAAUGCAGGAAAACCCGCUGAACUUAA